GCAGUGGUGAUUCAGCAGUAGAAUUCUCCUCUUCCAGGUGGGAGACCCGGGUUCAAUUCCUGCCCAGUGCA
rnacentral:tRNA from 1 species